UACGUAGGGUGCAAGCGUUAAUCGGAAUUACUGGGCGUAAAGCGUGCGCAGGCGGUUUUGUAAGACCGAUGUGAAAUCCCCGGGCUUAACCUGGGAACUGCAUUGGUGACUGCAAGGCUUGAGUGUGUCAGAGGGAGGUGGAACUCCGCGUGUAGCAGUGAAAUGCGUAGAUAUGCGGAGGAACACCGAUGGCGAAGGCAGCCUCCUGGGAUAACACUGACGCUCAUGCACGAAAGCGUGGGGAGCAAACAGG
rnacentral:rRNA from 1 species